rnacentral:miRNA from 14 species
GCCUACUGUAGCGUUUACAACA